GACAGAGGGGGCAAGCGUUGCUCGGAAUCACUGGGCGUAAAGGGCGCGUAAGCGGGAUGGCAAGUCGGUCGUGAAAUCCCUGGGCUCAACUCAGGGGGGUCGGCCGAUACUGCCGUUCUUGAGGGAUGCAGAGGAGACUGGAAUUCCCGGUGUAGCGGUGAAAUGUGUAGAGAUCGGGAGGAACACCGGUGGCGAAGGCGGGUCUCUGGGCAUUCCCUGACGCUGAGGCGCGAAAGCGUGGGGAGCAAACGGG
rnacentral:rRNA from 1 species